rnacentral:rRNA from 1 species
CACGAAGCCAUGUGAGCUAAUUCCGCUAAUAAUAUAUGUAGCAUAAUAUUUACUGAAACGGAAUUAGGGGUGAUAGGCCCUCAAAAACGGCGAUAUCUUGAAGUAAGCGAAAAAAAUCUAGUUUUAAGAUGAUUACAAAGUUACAAGAUUUUGUAAAGGUUUUAAUUUAUGAUGUUAUAUAAGAUUGGUGUAAAAGUCUAUAGUAUAUAUAUAGUAAUAUUUAAUUAUAGUAGUUAUUUCUGUUAGUUUACGGUCAUGUAACUACCUAGUAAUCACUAUGUUAAUAUAAGUACCUAUGAAGUAUUAAUAGUGAACUCGGCAACAAAGCUUUCAACUGUUUAUCAAAAACAUAGCCACGUGGUGCACAUGUGGUGUGUUCUGCUCAAUGAUAUUAAAUAGCCGCAGUACCCUGACUGUGCAAAGGUAGCGUAAUCAUUUGUCUUUUAAUUGGAGUCGUGUAUGAAUGAAUGUAUGGGGGCUUACUGUACCAUUAGUAUAAAUUGAAAUUACUUAAAAGGUGCAAAAACCUUUAGAUAAAUAAUAGACGAGAAGACCCUAGAAAUUUGUAUAGUAAUUUUGUUGGGGCAACAUAAUAGACAAACCUAUUAAAUGGACACGAAACUUAAUUGUUUGAAAAAAUUACUCUAGGGAUAACAGCAUAAUUCUAUGUGAGUUUGUGACCUCGAUGUUGGAUUAGGGAACUACAGCUUAAAA